rnacentral:rRNA from 1 species
UACGGAGGAUGCGAGCGUUAUCCGGAUUUAUUGGGUUUAAAGGGUGCGUAGGCGGAUUUUUAAGUCAGCGGUAAAAUGUCCGGGCUCAACCCGGGCCGGCCGUUGAAACUGGCUGUCUUGAGAUGUCGAGAGGUAUGCGGAAUGCGCAGUGUAGCGGUGAAAUGCUUAGAUAUUGCGCAGAACUCCGAUUGCGAAGGCAGCAUACCGGCGGCGAUCUGACGCUGAGGCACGAAAGCGUGGGUAUCGAACAGG